rnacentral:rRNA from 1 species
CCUACGGGAGGCAGCAGUGGGGAAUAUUGGGCAAUGGGCGCAAGCCUGACCCAGCAACGCCGCGUGAAGGAAGAAGGCCCUCGGGUUGUAAACCUCUUUUAUCAGGGACGAAGCAAGUGACGGUACCUGAUGAAUAAGCCACGGCUAACUACGUGCCAGCAGCCGCGGUAAUACGUAGGUGGCAAGCGUUAUCCGGAUUUACUGGGUGUAAAGGGCGUGUAGGCGGGAAAGCAAGUCAGAUGUGAAAACCCUGGGCUCAACCUGGGGCCUGCAUUUGAAACUGGUUUUCUUGAGUACUGGAGAGGCAGACGGAAUUCCUAGUGUAGCGGUGAAAUGCGUAGAUAUUAGGAGGAACACCAGUGGCGAAGGCGGUCGGCUGGACAGCAACUGACGCUGAGGCGCGAAAGCGUGGGGAGCAAACAGGAUUAGAUACCCGAGUAGUC